GCUCAGGAUGAACGCUAGCUACAGGCUUAACACAUGCAAGUCGAGGGGUAGCAGGGUAGCAAUACCGCUGACGACCGGCGCACGGGUGAGUAACACGUAUCCAACCUUCCCAUAACUCGGGGAUAGCCUUUCGAAAGAAAGAUUAAUACCCGAUAGUACUUUAUUAAGGCAUCUUAAGAAAGUUAAAGAUUUAUUGGUUAUGGAUGGGGAUGCGUUCCAUUAGAUAGUUGGUGAGGUAACGGCUCACCAAGUCUUCGAUGGAUAGGGGUUCUGAGAGGAAGGUCCCCCACAUUGGUACUGAGACACGGACCAAACUCCUACGGGAGGCAGCAGUGAGGAAUAUUGGUCAAUGGGCGAGAGCCUGAACCAGCCAAGUA
rnacentral:rRNA from 1 species